rnacentral:rRNA from 1 species
CCUACGGGUGGCAGCAGUGAGGAAUAUUGGUCAAUGGGCGCGAGCCUGAACCAGCCAAGUCGCGUGAAGGAUGACUGCCCUACGGGUUGUAAACUUCUUUUAUAAAGGAAUAAAGUGAGGCACGUGUGCCUUUUUGUAUGUACUUUAUGAAUAAGGAUCGGCUAACUCCGUGCCAGCAGCCGCGGUAAUACGGAGGAUCCGAGCGUUAUCCGGAUUUAUUGGGUUUAAAGGGAGCGUAGAUGGGUGGUUAAGUCAGUGGUGAAAGUUUGCGGCUCAACCGUAAAAUUGCCAUUGAUACUGGCAGUCUUGAGUAUAGUUGAGGUAGGCGGAAUGCGUGGUGUAGCGGUGAAAUGCUUAGAUAUCACGAAGAACUCCGAUUGCGAAGGCAGCUUACUAAGCUGCCACUGACAUUGAUGCACGAAAGUGUGGGGAUCAAACAGGAUUAGAUACCCCUGUAGUC